rnacentral:rRNA from 1 species
GAUGAACGCUGGCGGCGUGCCUAAUACAUGCAAGUCGAGCGAACAGACGAGGAGCUUGCUCCUCUGACGUUUGCGGCGGACGUGUGAGUCACGCGUGGAUCACCCAUCUAUAAGACUGGGAUAACUUCGGGACACCGGCUCUAAUCCCGGAUAAUAUAUUGAACCGCAUGGUUCAAUAGUGAAAGACGGUUUUGCUGUCACUUAUAGAUCGUUCCGCGUCGAAUUAGCUAGUUGGUCAGGUAACGGCUUACCACGGCGAAGAGGAGUCGCCGACCUGGUAGGGUGAUCGGCCACACUGGAACUGAGAAACGGUCAAAACUCCAACGGGAGGCAGCAGUAGGGAAUCUUCCGAAAUGGGCGAAAGCCUGACGGAGAAACGCGGCAGGAGUGAUGAAGGUCUUCGGAUCGUAAAACUCUGUUAUUAGGGAAGAACAAAUGUGGAAGUAACAAUGCACGUCGUGACGGUACCUAAUCAGAAAGCCACGGCUAACUACGUG